rnacentral:rRNA from 1 species
CCAAUAGCGUAUAUUAAAGUUGUUGCAGUUAAAAAGCUCGUAGUUGAACUUCGAGACCGGUGGGUUGGUCGUGCCUCAGGUACGUAUUGGCUUUACCGGUUUCUCUCUUCUGAUGAACUAUGAUGCCAUUAAGUUGGUGUUGUAGGGAAUCAGGACUGUUACUGUGAACAAAUUAGAGUGUUUAAAGCAGGCUAAUGCCUGAAUAGGUUAGCAUGGAAUAACAAAAUAGGACGUUCGAACCUAUUUUGUUGGUUUCUAGGAUCGACGUAAUGAUUAAUAGGGAUAGUUGGGGGCAUUAGUAUUCAAUUGUCAGAGGUGAAAUUCUUGAAUUUAUUGAAGACUAACUACUGCGAAAGCAUUUGCCAAGGAUGUUUUCAUUAAUCAAGAACGAAAGUUAGGGGAUCGAAGACGAUCAGAUACCGUCGUAGUCUUAACCAUAAACUAUGCCGACUAGGGAUCGGAUGAUGUUAAUUUUUUAAUGACUCAUUCGGCGCCUUACG